rnacentral:rRNA from 1 species
GUGCCAGCCGCCGCGGUAAUACGAAGGGACCUAGCGUAGUUCGGAAUUACUGGGCUUAAAGAGUUCGUAGGUUGUUAAAAAAGUUGGUGGUGAAAUCCCAGAGCUCAACUCUGGAACUGCCAUCAAAACUUUUUAGCUAGAGUAUGAUAGAGGAAAGCAGAAUUUCUAGUGUAGAGGUGAAAUUCGUAGAUAUUAGAAAGAAUACCAAUUGCGAAGGCAGCUUUCUGGAUCAUUACUGACGCUGAGGAACGAAAGCAUGGGUAGCGAAGAGGAUUAGAUACCCUCGUAGUCCAUGCCGUAAACGAUGUGUGUUAGACGUUGGAAAUUUAUUUUCAGUGUCGCAGCGAAAGCAGUAAACACACCGCCUGGGGAGUACGACCGCAAGGUUAAAACUCAAAUGAAUUGACGGGGACCCGCACAAGUAGUGGAGCAUGUGGUUUAAUUCGAAGAUACGCGCAGAACCUUACCAACACUUGACAUGUUCGUCGCGACUCUAAGAGAUUAGAGUUUUCGGUUCGGCCGGACGAAACACAGGUGCUGCAUGGCUGUCGUCAGCUCGUGUCGUGAGAUGUUGGGUUAAGUCCCGCAACGAGCGCAACCCUCACUUUUAGUUGCCAUCAUUUAGUUGGGCACUCUGAAAGAACUGCCAGUGAUAAGCUGGAGGAAGGUGGGGAUGACGUCAAGUCCUCAUGGCCCUUACGUGUUGGGCUACACACGUGCUACAAUGGCAUUUACAAUAGGAAGCAAGAUGGCGACAUCAAGCAAAUCCUAAAAAAAUGCCUCAGUUCGGAUUGUACUCUGCAACUCGAGUACAUGAAGCUGGAAUUACUAGUAAUCGCGGAUCAGCGCGCCGCGGUGAAUGCGUUCCCGGGUCUUGCACACACUGCCCGUC